rnacentral:lncRNA from 1 species
GUAUCUAUUGAGUCACUAAAUGUGAUUGUUGGAAUUUUAGCUACUGUAAUAGUUAGUUAUUAAGGGUCUCGGCCAGCUUAUGCAUCUCUCUUUUUAUGUCUGAUUCAAAAGUCACUCAGUUCUGUCGACCUGUCUUCAGUUCAUUUCUUUCCAUAUGUCGUCCUGUUGUUUUCAGAGCAGAUUCGAAAACAGAGAUGAAUUCAAUUCUUUUAACAGUCAGCAGGUUAGAGAUGGUUGUUAAUGUUGUGGAUUUGAAAAUUCCUUUUAAUAAUAUGUGUAAUUAACUCAUGUAUAAUGCUUCAGCUUUUCUCUUGGAUACAAAUAUGUGGUGUAAUGUUUUCCUACUGUUGGUAAUUCUUGUCUUUCCUUCAGAAAUUGACUUCGUUUGAAAAUGCUUGUUCUAGCAGGAAGUCAAGGUCUUUUGGUUUUAGGUUCUUCUAAUUCAGUUUAUUUAUUUCUUAAAUGUUUUAUAAUCAUUAAUUUUGAAACCAAAUAUAAAGUUGCUUUUGUGUGAUAACAUCUGGUCAAAUGAUGUUUUGCUUGUGUGAUCAACUAUGGAUGUGUUGUGUUCUUGGUGGAUUGCAGAUAUCGGAAGUGGUAAAUAGCAUGAAAGAUUUGAUUGACUAUAGCAGGGAGACAGGGACCGGACCCAUGGGUAAGUUCAACCUACUUAACCUUUCUAUUAGUUCCUUACAUCACAGUUCAAAUUUACUGACCUUGUGACAAACUAAUGACUCACUAACAUAGGAGGAUAGAUGGGGUUGUUUUCCUGUGAGUUAGUGUUGCAUACAACGACAACAAAAUACCUAGUGUAAUUUCACAAGUGGGGUCCGGGGAGGAUAGAGCAAACACAGACCUCAACCCCCCUACCUUGGGAUGUAGAGAGGCUGUUUCCGAUAUACCCUUGGCUCAAGGAAAAGGAAAUAGCGGAACUAAAGAAGCUACUAACAUGGCAUAUUGCCAACUAAUUGAUAUUUUCUCUAUAAGGUGUUUUUUCCUUCCGUUGUGACCUAUUUUCGCUAAGCCUACAUAGAUUCUAAGAAUUGUACGUUUUUCGAGACAGUAUCGAGCUAGUGUUGUAUAGAUAAUAAUGUAUUUCACAAAGAGGCAUCUGAUUGUUAUUUAAAGGUGUCCCAGGAAUUUGGUUCAAUGGGAAAUGUGUGCUACGCUGUUGUUGCUCCAAGUUUGGUUCUAGGUGAAGUGUAGAGAAUUAGGCCCAUUAUCUUCUUGUGAGGAUUGUAUUGGAGAAGAAUAUUAUUGAAAUUGUGUAUCUACAUUAUUACAUAGAGACCCUAUUUAUAGACACUACAAUAUAAUCCUUUACCAAGUAGGAUACUAUUUACUAUUUCUAUUACUAUUCCUAUUCGUAUUCUAAAUAGGAUUUUAUAAACCUAUUCCUAUUCUAUCACUUCUUUUAAUAAGUAAAGAAUGACACUUAUAUAGAGAGCAUUAGGAUCAUUAUCCUGAAUUUCUAAGCUGAAACAACGGAUUUCUUAGUCAAACCAAAAAAAAAAGAAAAAAAAUAAGAGAGCAAAUUGGGGUGGGGGGUGGGGGUGGGGGGCGCAAAAGAAAGAAGAUUGCCUUUUGAAGUAAAUUUUGCUCAUACCAUGAAAUUGCUUUGCGGAUGGAAAAUAGAAACCAUCAUGUUUGAGUAGAGAACCCAUGGGACAAAGCAGAUUCCGCUGCAUCGUUAGUCAACUUUGUUGGUAAUAUAACUGUCAUGUAAUAACUAGAGCCACGCAAUAUGCAUGAAUGUUGGGGACUAGAGAGUAGGACACUCAACUCUUGCAAACUAAGGCUCACUUUCAUAUUGGACAUAAUGUAUCGUUAAUUUUCUCGCUGAUGCUCAUUGAUCCAGUUGCAUAGUUUUCCCCCUGAAUUUCUUAUCAAUUCCCUCUUUUGCCCCGAAAUAUAUCACUUUUCCUAGUGGCAUUCUGGAUUUGGUGUUUAGUCUUUUUUCGAUAAUGAGGAUUUGGUGUUUUAUAUCUUAGUGCUACCUCUUUGUGCUCUGGAGUUUGCUGUGGUAUUUAAGUCCCAGGAGACCGGGUAAGUGGUCAAGUGUUUCCCCAACAUUCAUGAAGUUCAAGUGGUAAUCUACCAAAAUUCAAUUUGUGGGGUAAAUGAGUGGGAGCUCAACUUAUCAUUAAUCAGUUUUUAUGUCUGGCCCAGUGUUAUCCUCUCUACCUGUGAUGCGUAUGUGAGUGGGCCAUUUUUGUGUGCGCUAAAUUGAUAAUUUGGAGUAGAUAUUCAACUUGAGCUUGAUGAACUUUUUUUUUUAAUUUUCAUCUAGUAUUGAUGAUCUGUCCUGGCGUUUAUGUUUAACAUUAUUCUUACUGUUCACAUUGUGCCCAACUCUUAAUUUUCCAGAGAGCUUGGCUAAGUUUCCUCGUAGGAACGGUUCUUCAGCUGGAGUACAAGGUCCAGUUCAAUCAACUGAGGAUCAGACUCAGCAGCAGCAGCAGCAACAACAGCAGCAGCAGCAACAACAGCAGCAGCAACAUACACAUCAAACAGUCAGUAGCUCAAACCAUGAGACGACUUCACAGCCUGGUGUACCGCCUCUACCUUUAAGCAAUGGUAUGUUGAAUGUAAACAAUUCUGUGAACCAAGUACCUGCUACUUCGUCUAGUGGUACUGUUGUUGGAUUACUGCACCAAAAUUCCAUGAACUCCAGGCAACAAAAUCCAGUGAAUGGUGGAAGUAGUACCUACUCAGGAAAUGCUGUCCAAAUGCCUUCACCUAAUUCUUCAAGUACAAUGCCUCAGUCUCAACCCAACUCUUCUCAAUUCCAGUCUCCAACACCAUCAUCAUCCAACAAUCCACCACAAGCUUCACACAGUGGCUUAUCAUCAGUGCAACACAUGAACUCUGCAAAUUCCCCAAAAAUCACAAUGCAGCAACCAGCCCAUUCAAGCGACGUGGAUGCUAAUGACUCUCAGAGUUCUGUACAAAAGAUCAUACAUGAAAUGAUGAUGUCUUCACAGCUCGGUGGCGGUGGCAUGGUAGGUAAUGGUACUAUUGGGAAUGAUAUAAAAAAUGGACAUGGGAUGUUGGCAACAAGUAAUAAUUCCCUUCUCAAUGGAAGCAAUUGCCUUGUUAGGAAUGGGACAGCCAAUGCUAACAGUACAGGUGUUGGUUCUGGAUUUGGGAGUAUGAACAAUGGACUGGGCCAAGCUGCAAUGGCUAAUGGAAUGCGUGCUGCAUUGGGUAAUAACCCUUCAGCCAUGAAUGGGUUAGUGGGCAUGACAAUGGUGAGAGAACGUAAUAUGAGUCAACAGCAACAAGAUCUGGGAAACCAACUGCUAAGUGGUUUAGAAGCAGUCAACGGUUUUAACAACCUGCAGUUUGACUGGAAAACAUCUCCUUAAAAAGGUUCAGGUUGGCAAUUAUUAGUCUAUGUUCUGCUGCUUGUGUUGCAAAGAUCGUUAUAUGAGUUUGCCUCUCAUGAUAAGAGUAGCCAUGGUUGCUGAAGCAGAAGUGGUUUCAAAGAUUUCCCCUUCUGUACUGAUUUGAGUGGGAAGGACAACGUAUAGUGUGGCAUCUUAACAGCUGAAAUGUUAUCUCAUCCGAGAGUGCACUCUCUUCUAACUUGAUUUUGCCUGGUUUGUCAUAGCUGCUCCUUUAAUGGGACAUUCAGGGAACGACUUGGCUAAUGGACCGCUACAUUCAAUCUGUUUAUACCAUGCGGAGGCAUUUGUUAACUAUGUAUGGGCUGAUCUAUUGCCCCUAUCGUGCUGCAUCUCCACACCACUCCAGAGCAUGCGGUUGUAUAUAGUUGGGGUUCUGUUGUAGAGCUUUCAGUAGCUUCUAUAAUUGGCACCGGUGCAAUCAUCAUUUCCUCUCUCCUUCCUACUUGUCUUUCUGUUAGGCUUAUUUGGAGUGGCUUGACAGGGGGAAAAAAAUUAGGAUGAGGCUUGGUGGAAUUAAAGUAAAUCCAUUAGUAUGAAGUUGUAUCUGAAGGAAUUUGAUUUUAAGCACUGGAAUUUUCAUAGGGGCAUAAUUUGAAGUAUUUCUAUUAGCCUGUUGAUUAGGAAUUGCUGGCUUGAUUUUAACCCACAGAUGUUUGUUCUAAUUGCUUUACAAAGUAGAAAGAGCCAGUUGCUCAUGUUUUUUGCUGGAAAAAAUUAAACCAGUGAUGAGGCCGUCCUACUUUACUCUUGUUGCCAUCAUCUUUAACUUGUUAUUGGCUUUCUGGAGUCAGUGUUUUUCUUUUAUUGAACUGCGAGGAGAGAGCUGCUAUUGCAAGGAUACUAGUCAUGAAGAAAACUUGUCGGCAACAUAUUCUGGUCUCUACUGCCGGCAACUCCAUGAGCUCCAGAGAGAUCAUCGACAAUGGAGUAGCAGAAACCUAUCAUUCGCGAUUCUUAAUUUAUAUAGUUUGAAUCUCGAAAGUUCAAAAUCUGAGGUCUGACGAAGUUAAUGUAAUGAAAAGAAUGCAUGUAGUAUAAAAUAAAGAGUUCAGAGGAGAACCUCUUUAAAUGUUCAUAAAUUGAGUUCAAAUUACAAUCUUAAAGUAAACUUUUUGACAAAUAAGGAUAAAUAAACGUCCACCCAUUUAUUCUUUCGCUUUACGUGGCGUUUUAUAGAAAUAUAAAUAUUAGGAGGGUACUUUGUAAAUAUUGUCGAUAUCAAAUGUCAAUUACAAAGCAGAACAAUGUAUGUAUAACAGUCCCAUAAAAUAAAAUAUCCAUCAUCGAUCCGUCCACAUGCAUGUGUAAAGAAAAAAAAAGAAAAAGAAAAAAGAGAAGAGAUUUGACUUCGUUUUGAUUGAUUGAGAAAAGAGAAAAUUUUAUUAGUAAAGAGAAGAAGAAAUAAAGAAGAAAAUUCAUUCCGAUUGAAUACAAUUUUGACGUCCGUAAACACACUUUCUCUCUCUAAACAAAAUAUACAGCUAAGAAGCUGAAUCUAUCUACUGAAAGGAAGCACAGUGAAGUUCAAAGAAGGUGACGCUACAAUUUGUGUGUUCUUUGUGCUUGUAGUUCCGUGUAUGGAAUAUACUCAAUCUGCGGUGAGUCGCUGUUGAAAUUGUCUUUUUGUUUUCUAAAGCUGGCUGCAGGUUGCUCAUUUUUAUCAUUUAUUGCGAGAUUUAGGGCUUGAUCAAGUGUUCAUAUGAUUGUAUAAGUUUCCUGCUUUGUUCUUUUUUCUUUUUUGUUUAGUGUUCAAUCAAGCUUCUUUCAUUUUCCGAGUUUGAAAAUUUGGGUGUUUUUGGGUAAUAUUCUCUGACGGAUGUUUUUCUAAAAGGGAUAGGAAUGAAGUUUGAUUUCUGAUUAGACGAUUUCAAGUAAGGUUGGGUAGGGUAAAUCUAUCUUUAUCGGAAGGGAGGGAUAAAUUGACACAAAAUUGAAUAACUAUUGCAGUGGAUGAUGCAGCAAAAGACAGUUAUUUGAGCGGAAAGAAGUCUGGUUUAGUGGUUUCAGAGACAAGCUUCCAUCUUUUGGAUAAAAAAUGGAAUGAUAUUGUUGGUUUUGCUUGGUUCCCCGCCUAGUUUUUUCUUCAGAGCAAUUGAAAUUUCUUGAGCUUAGUGGGGGGCUUUGAUGCCAUUUUAUGAAUUUUCUGUACUCACUUGAGGCUUUUAUGCAAUUUUAGGAAGUUUCUAUAUUUGCUCAAGUGUUGGUAGACUGUGUGCUUCUUGGUGAAAAAUGGUUCCAACAGGGCCUCCUAAUCCACGUGGAGGUUCCCAGUCAGUACCUUCUUCAUUACUGCGAACAAAUUCCGGUGUAAUGGGUGGUCAAGGGGGGUCAAUGCCUUCACCAGGUUGUUUCCCUUCUAUGGUUUCUCCUCGGACGAUGUUUGGGAAUAUGAAUAUGCUAGGGAAUGCUCCCAAUGUUUCACAUCAGUCUUUUGCAAAUGGAGGUCCUAAUGCAGGGCUGGCUGGACCAGGAAGUUCUCAGCGUGGUCCUGUUGAUAAUGGGGCCGAGACUGACCCACUUUCUGGUGUAGGAAAUGGGAUCGGUUUUAGUGCUCCUUCAACGUCAUUUAUGUCAUCAGCCAUGGCAACAAAUCCAAAUAGCAGUCAAGUUCAAGGACAGCAGUUUCCUAACCCCUCCGGUAACCACAUGUUGGCUGACCAACAACGAUCCCAACAGUUUGAUUCCCAGAAUUUUCAACAUAAUCAACAGUUGCAGCAGUUUUCUUCCCCUAUCAAUUCCCAAACACAGCAACAGCAGCAUCAAUUUCAAUCCAUGCGUGGUGGAUUAGGAGGUGUGGCACCUGUCAAAAUGGAAACAGAGGUGACUAAUGAUCAAACACCGCAGCAGUUGCAAGCUCUGAGAAACUUGGCACCUGUAAAAAUGGAACCACAACAGAUUCAAAAUAUGAGAGGUCUUGCGCCUGUCAAAGUAGAACAACAACAAUCUGACCCAUCUUUAUUUCUACAUCAGCAACAGCAGCAGCAGUUCCUUCAGAUGUCCAGGCAGUCCCCUCAAGCUGCUGCUGCUGCACAGCUUUUGCAUCAGCAGAGGCUAAUGCAGUUCCAGCAUCAUCAUCAACUCUUGAAGACUUCCCCUCAACAACGAAACCCAUUACAACAACAAUUUCAAUCACAGAAUCUUGCUGUCAGACCUCCUGUAAAGCCAGUAUAUGAGCCCGGGAUGUGUGCCCGUCAGCUGACUCAUUAUAUGUAUCAGCAGCAACAUAGACCUGAAGUAAGAAGAAUUGGUCAACUAUAUCAUUGUGUGGCAUCUAUGCACUACACCCUACCCUGCAGCUUUCCCAGAUAAUGAAAAAGAAAAUAUGAUAUCAAUUUUUUCCCUAACAAAUUGCUCUUCCUUCUUUAUAGGACAAUAACAUUGAGUUCUGGAGGAAAUUUGUUGCUGAGUAUUUCGCUCCCAAUGCCAAGAAAAAAUGGUGUGUAUCUAUGUAUGGAAGUGGUCGGCAGACUACUGGAGUUUUUCCUCAGGUUCACUGCUUAUGUGGAAGUUAUUUACAUUUUUUGUUUUUGUAUUGUUUAUAUGCUCCCAUCAAAUGAAAAUGGAGUUGUAAUAACUUUCAUGGUACAAGCUUAGUAUCCUAUUACAGCAUAGAUAUAUUUUUUAUCUGAGAUACUUCUUUUAGAGCUUGUUCUAUAAAUGCUGCUGAUUAGCUGUAGAACAACUGUUAACAAAUGAGUUUAUAUCUUUGAUUUAUAUUGUGUAAUUUGCAGGAUGUGUGGCACUGCGAAAUAUGCAGCCGGAAGCCAGGCCGUGGGUUCGGUAUGUUCUUUGCAGCAUCAAGCUCUUGAAUUAAUUUUUGGUCCGAGAAGCAGUUAACAAACUUUAUGGCUUAACAAAACCCAUUCUUUAAUUACUUCAUCUUUAUUUAUUUGGUUUUCCUCUCAGCUGAUAAAUUCUGUUUCAGCAUCUGAUAUAUCUCAACUCAUUUUUUCUCAGAAGCGACUGCUGAGGUUUUGCCCAGGCUUUUCAAGAUAAAGUAUGAAAGUGGCACUUUGGAAGAACUUCUCUAUAUUGAUAUGCCCCGUGAAUAUCAGAAUUCAUCUGGGCAAAUAGUCCUAGAUUAUGCAAAAGCGAUUCAGGAGAGUGUCUUUGAGCAACUUCGUGUUGUCCGUGAUGGUCAGCUUCGUCUAGUGUUUUCACAACCUGAUUUGAAGGUUAAAGGAAGAACUGAUAGUUUAAUAUUCAGUGAAGUGUUUAUUCAUGGACAGUUGAGACCUAGCAUGGUGCAUAUUAAUGCUAUAAUUCGUUUGAUCUGAAUUCCUUUUGUAUCUACUUGGCAGAUAGUUUCUUGGGAAUUUUGUGCACGGCGUCAUGAGGAGCUUAUUCCUAGAAGAUUGUUGAUACCUCAGGUUAACAGUUUUACCUUUCAACUGCCAUUCCAUGGAUGUAUUUAUGAAGUCAUGCUUCAACUGUGAUUUGAAUCAUACACUUCUAUUCACUGAUAGCAGACUUUUAAGUUGCCUAGGUUUAAAAUAGGUAAAAAGAAGUUGGUUGACUUUUUUCCUCAAAAAAAUUUGAAGAUGCUUUACAAACUCUACUUGAGAAGUAAAGAACUUCAAUCUAAUUUCUUGCCACAUCUGCUAUGGCAGAAGCCUUUUAAUUUCAUUGACCUGGAACUAUGUGCUAAUUCUGUGUGAUUGAUCUUUAUUAUGAACAUUACUUAUGUAAUUGGAUGAUAGUAUGGUCGUGUUAGUAUUUAUGGUCACUAUUUCCUUUUCUUUUGUCUGUUGGUACAAGCUCAAUAUACAUGGAUGUACAAGAUUUCCGUUGCAUUUUUGUUCUUUUCUAAUUUCAAAAUUACCUGUUUCUUCUUCUUAGCAAUAUAGAACGGUUUAGAAGCAUCUUAUUCUCAAUCCUCGCCUUGUGAUAUUGAAGCGGUUAGGGCUGCUGGACAGACCACUCUAAACUGCUUUUUAGAUGAAUUAAGCUCCAUUUAGUAGUUUGUGGUCGCAAUGUCUGUUCAUUAAUGGAAAGAAUUGACUGUUCAUAAUCGUAUGGCAUUUCUAUUUGUUUUUUCUUCAGUUUUGGGGAGAAUCUCUCUGAAUAAUUUUUUUUUGAGAAAUAUUGCAUGGCUGGUUUGUGUUGGGAUUUAAUAUUGUUUUUUAAAGUAUUUGGUGGAUUGUAUUUCGUUCUUGUGAUUGGUUUUUGGUAAUCUGAGUUUGAGCUGGUUUUAUCUCAAUUCCUAAUAAAGGUAGAUUCUUCUUUGAACCUGCUAUCUAGGAACAAUUUGAAAUGCAUCGGGUAGAAGCUCUAACCCUGGUUAAGGCCUAAGGGUUUGGAUAUGUUAUGGUCACGGGAUAGUUAAGAUGUGAUGGAGAAAAAUUCAGAACAGUUUUAUUGGGUGAUGUUUAUGCUAUCUGAAGUCCAUGGAACAGGACUUCUGAUGUUCUAUAAUGUGCUAGUUUUAUCCCCCAAGGCCUAGCUCAAGCGGCAAAAGGUGGAGGAUUUGUGGCUUAGGUCGUAGGUUCAUGCCCCACACCAUGCAAAGUGAAGCCUGGUAUUUAAGUGGAGAAGGGUAGAGGGACGGGCGCAUUAUCCACCGAGUUUAGAAGGCUGUGAUUGGUCCAAAGGGCGGGUCACAGACGGAUUUCUCGGUUAUAAAAUAAAAAUAAAAAUAAUGUGCUAGUUUUAAGAAAUUUGUUUUAGCACAGGAUAACAAAGUAUAAUUUAAAUAAGCUCCGACUUCAUAAUAGAAAUUGAGGACUUGGAAAAAGGAGUCAAAUUGUUGUGCUUGUAAUAUGAUCACUUGCUAUUCUAACUAUUCCUUGGUAUAUUAUUUUAUCACAACUGAUUUCAAAUGCCUAAUAUCAAGAAGGUCCCUUUCACUUAUGAAAUUUAGAAUCAAAUUCUCUCUCAGUAGGAUUGUUAAAAGAGUAGUACCGGGUAAUGGAUCUUGGUGCAUUAAAUUGGACAUAACUCAAUUGAAAAAAAAUCAGAACACAAAUGAAAGCUGGAUCUAAUCUUGUAAACCCUGAAUUCAUUUCAUAACUUCCAGAUUUUGUUAUCUUUUUAAUUUUGCUUUUGUACUUGUACUAUAGUAAACUACUACUUUAUUAUAAAAGUCUGCUACAAAAAAGAAAACAAGUGUUAGAAAUUAAACUUCAAUUGACAAAGUAAAGAAACAUGGACUGAAGUUGUCGCGACCCAAAAAUGGGUGUGUGAUGGCACUCGUCUUAUCCCACCAAGAGUCGGCCUAAAAUUUGAAACCUAACGAUAGAAAUGCGGAAAGUAAAUGAUCAAAACAUAACUACAGAUAACUUAGUCAAACUCAUAAAUGCCCUCAAAAGCUGGUUGAUAUGUGUACUAGCCUCUAAUGUAUUAAAAUAGGAUGAAGAAAAAUACAAAGUCUCUAUGUCAUUGUUUCUCGAGUAGAACAAGAACAUAAGAAAGGAAUAAGAGGGCCACUGAGAUGACAAACAACUACCUCUCAAGUCUCCAUAGUAAAGCCUCGGACAAGAUAAAGGGGAAGGGUAAUCGCGAAGAUCCUGACUCGUAACCUACACAAGUGUUGAAGCAGGGGGUGAGUACCAAUCAACACGAUACUCAACAAGUACACAACUGACCCAAAGUAAAGCAUUAUUGAACACAAGUACUCCAACUACUCCAUCUGAACCUCCAUAACUACAACCUGCAAUAAUCAAACAACCUAACCUAAACAUUUCUCACUCCACCAGUGGCGGAGCCACCUUACAAUUAGGGGUUUCAUCCGAACCCCCUUCGGCGGAAAAUUGUAUGAUUUAUACAUGGUUAAAAUAAUUUUUUAGGUAUAUAUAGUAGAUGUCGAACCCCUUUCGACUACUUCGUGUGUUUAUUUUUUCAGAUUUUGAACCCCCUUAUUGAAAAUCUUGGCUCCGCCACAACACUCCACAUCACAAAGCCCCUAAGGAAUAAUUCAAUUUGCACCUCAACACGAGAAGUCCAUCAACACAAUGGUUAUAAUCAAAUGAAGUGCAAUGCAACGAUGUGCAAUGUCAUAUAGAGUGAUGCAUGUCUGUCCUAACGACACACACCCACUGUCUCUUUGUUCGGGAUCCAUGGGGAACUUCUUAGUCCAUGCAUCUGCCACGGGCGUGUGGCCCGAUCCCAAUUUCAUCUCAAUGAAUCCGACACGAAUGUGUGGCGCGUUCCUUAUUUCCACUCAAUAAUUCCUCCAUGGAUGUGUGGCCCGAUUUCUAUUUCCUUUCAUCCUCACCAAUUCAUCACAACAAUGGUACAACAUCAAUGCAAACAUAAUAGUGCAAUGAUCAAAUAUGAGGAUGAUAAUUCAACACCAAUAUCUAAUUACAAUCAAAUAAAGCAUGUCAUCAAGUGAGUAAUCUCAUUCGGCCAAUUGCCCACAACAAAAUGAAGUCACACAUAACAAGAUUCUUGUUUUAACCCAAGUUGUUUAGCAAGUUCACGUCAUCAAUUUACAAUAUGAAAUUCUUACAUGAAUCCCUUCACCAAUUCCCAUUUCUCCCAAUCAUAUCAAAGCAUACAAGGUUCAAAACUCUUAAGAAAAACAAGAAGUCUGCUUGCCUUAAGAAAAUCACACAAUCACUCUGGCACUUGAACUUUUUUCUUCUGAACGGUAUCCAAAUCAAUGCAAUCUAAUUAAAUAAGUUAUCACAAUAAGAUUUCAAGUCUAUCAAUACUCGUAUCAAACAUUUUGGAAAAAAGAGUCAAAUUGACCCAAAAACCCGAUUCAUAAAAACGAAUGUUAAAUCUGGAAACUUAUACAUGAAAACGCUACCCAAAGAAUUUAGAAGUCAUUGGUAAAAACCAUUUUGAAAAUGGAGUUGAAAUCAUUCACAAACCCCCAUUUUCCCCCAAAACUCAAGUUCUUGAAAAAUCCCCCUAAGUUUGAACCCAAAUCAAUAAUUAGGUGGAAAAAUCUUUACAUAAUCAAGGCAUAAUAAAGGGGGAGAGUUGAAAUAUGUUACCCAAUUGAAGUUUCUUGAAAAUCCUCCUUGAAAUCGCCUAAGUCAAGUUUCUAGGGUUCAAAAUUGGAGAAAAAGGGAAGAAAUUCCAUCAUUUUGAAAAAACACAUUGCCAGGGGUCCUCGCAAACGCGAACUCAGGUUCGCAAACACAAUCCCUAGUCAUGAACACGACCACUAGAUAAAAUGACCCUUCGCGAACGCGACUCGACCCUUCGCAGACGUGGUCAAGUCUUUGCUAACGCAAGGCACAACAGACAUCAGACGUAAGAAAAUCAACCAACACACAAGUCUCCGGAAGGACCUUAGGAAUUCGUUCGGAAUCUCGUACACAAACCAAAUUUGUUACCCAACUAAACUCGCUGUUCCGAACUUAAUGGAACCAUCAAAACACAAAUCCAAGGUCUUCUUGACAUGAAACUCGUGAAAGUUGCAAUAAAUUAACAUAACGCCUAAAAAGACCAAACUAAGCUCGAAACCUUUGAAAAUUCAACUGAGACCUCUCUUAGGCCUAAAAUCAUCCCCCAAAUUCGAUGGAAUUGCUGAAAAUUCGAUCUGAGCAUUCGAACUCCGAAUGUUGACUAAAGUAAACUCAAGGCAUAAAAUUACAUCAAUUUCCAACUUAGGACCUCAAAUCCACGGAACCCCUCUAAAUUUGAAAAUGACAACUCUCCUAGUCCAAAUUUCACAUUUCGAAACGGAUGGAACUGACAGAAUUCCAUUACAAGGUUCGAAACUCUGAUUGCUACCAAAAACUAUGUUGCUCGGACUCUUCAAAAAUGUCGACGGGUGUGUGUCGGAUCCUCCAAAAAUAGUGUAUUUUUGAAGGAUCCAACACGAGUGCAGCUACAUUUUUGGAGAGUCCUAGCAACUUGGUCCAAAACCAUUUUUAAACAACUUGAGUCUUUCAAACUCAAAACUUCCAAAAAUCCAUGUAAAAGUGGCUGAUUCAACUUUCUAAUAGACUUGUUAGUUCCGCAGCUCAAAAAUCAUUACUUUCCAAUCAAUUUACAAAUCCAACUCUGCAAACUGAUCAGAAAUGACCUGGGGUAACUUUCAGGAGGGGUAAAAUGGUAAUUUUAUAAAAAAAAAAAUAAAAUCAAAAAUGACCUUCCGGGUCAUUACAGAAGUAAGCUCUAAAUGUGAUCGUUCUAUGUGGAUUUACUUAAAGAAUUCUAUGUUUGCUAUCAGUAGAAAAAGGUUGUUUGCUAUCUAAUAAUAUUAACAUAUGGAUUUCUACGAUACAUUUAAUAAAUUAAGUAUGCUAUACUAGUAAGUUCCUGUCUUUCGGUGUUAGUUUCCUAGGUUUGUCAAUGUGCAGUAAGUAUGGGUUGAAAAACUUUGGGCGCCAGAUUUGCUACAAACUUAAAUUUAAAAGAAAGAAAAGAAAAACAAAAGCUAGAUUUGAACCGGUAAACCCAAAACUCUUUAAUUUUCUCCUAGAGCUGCACUAUCUUCAGUAAUUUUUUUCCUACUUUAAGCGUGUGUAUAGUGAACUAGGAUCUGAUAAAAACUCAUUUUUGAAUAACCAAGUACAGGAUUCAUGGUUUAACUAUUAUCUUGGUAUGAUGAGUUACUUGAAUGAAUUAGUGCCUAUCUGGGCAAGUUUCUUGGAGCUCAAAAGCACUUUCUUCAAAAUUUGAUGUGUUCGUCCAAUAAGUAAAAGUGCUUUUGAGUAGCAGCAAAAUCAAUUUUUCUAUUGUUGGAAGGAAGCUAAAAUUUCCACGUUCUUGAAAAAGGUGGAAGUAGAAAAAUAUCCCUACCAUCAAUACUCUUGAGAAUAUCAUUAACUAAUAAAAGUGUGCUCUCUCUAACAACUUGAGCUUUUAGAUGAGAUGGUCACACACUUUUACAUAGUAUCAGAGCAGGCAGAAAACCUGAUAUCGAAUACCACCCAAAUUUAAAAAGGAUUUCCAUGUGAUUGGCCCAUGAAAAAGAGAUAGGUCUGCACGUGAGGGGAUGUGUUGAGAGUAUCAUUAACUAAUAAAAGUGUGCUCUCUUUAAGAACUUAAGUUUUUAGAUGAGAUGGUCACACACUUCAACAAAUACAUACUUAUCAAGCAUAUCCCCUCAUUAAGUUAUUAAACCAUUUCCUUUACUUUUAGAAAUAAAAAUAGAAGAAAGCAAUGACUAGUUUUAGAAUAUCUCAUUUCCUUUUGACUCUUAAUAUUAGUAUCCAUGCAUUUCAUGUAAGAGUUUUCUCUGUCUUUUAUUUAUCUCUUUGUUAAAAUGAGUAAUAUUAAUAAUUACUAAUAUGCUUCAUAUAGCGUAGUGAAUUUUCGUUGUGUGAAUGAUUUUACUUAGUUUGUGGUAAAUACUCCAUAUAUGAUGAUUUAAUUUGAGGAAUGAUUUUUUAAUAUAUAUUGGUUAAUGUUUCUUAGUAUAUUAGCAUGUUAACAUUAUACUAAUAUUUAAUGUUUUCAUUGAUUUAUCUAUAUGUACUAUAUUGAUUGAAAAUUUUAAUAUGUAUUUUUAUUUUAAUUAAAUAAUAGUACAAGUCUUAUCAGUCUUUGAUUGUUGAUACUUAAAAUAUUUUUUCUCUAUAGAAUAUCUUAAUUAUAAAUGUGCAUCGAUACUUGGCCUUUUUUGUAAUUUGACGCUCAAAAGUUUUUUUUUAACAAAUAACUAUUAGCCUUAUACGAUUUGCUUAUCAAAUACUGAAAAAACACUUUUAAAAUGAACUACUUGUCAAACACAUUGUGUUUCUCCCGAAAUACUUUUUUGGAAAGCUAUUUUAAAGAAAAUGCUUCUGAAAAUGAACAAAUUUUAGUUGCUUAGUCAAACAGUCUCUUUAUGUGCGCCAAUUAACAAUUUUAGCGUUUGAUUUGAAGGUGACAUCUAAUUAAGUAUGCAUGUUAAUAGAUCAAUUGGUUUUUGUUCCGUAACUCUAAGUUGCAUGGACUCUUCAAUUUCGAUGUUGCACUCAUGUUGUAUCCCCAAAAAUGUACUACUUUUGGAGAAUCCGACACGCACCGAUUGACAUUUUUGAAGAGUUUGAGCAACGUAGAUGUAGGUUUUUCAUGUUGCUUUUCAUGUUUUGGUACACACAUUAGGUCCAUUGAAGAACUUGUAUAUAAGUGUGUGCAUGUGUGUGUACACAUAUAUGAAAUUGAUACUUGUAUACAUGCGUGAGUAUAAAUCUCUCUUUUAGGCAGUUGGUACAAUAUUUUAAGAGAUCUUGUGCACAAUGACCAGUGUUAUCAAAGGCACGUUUCAAGUGCGCUUAAGCCUUGAAGCAAGGCACAAAACGCGUUGAGUACUUCACCUCUCUUAAUGUGCGCUUCAGUGUCGUCAUCAAGGAUCUAAGACACACUUUUCUUUGUGAAUGAGCAUUUUCUGAAGAGGCGUUGCUAAACCAUUGACAUUUCACUUUAUCGUAAAAGCAAUAAAUUUCUUUGUCUAUAUAUUUCUUUAUUCAUGCUUAUAAUUAUUAGUCUUGGACUAUACAGGGGCAGAAAGGGGUGUCAAGCGACACCCCUUCGUUGGAAAAUUACUUUGUAUAUAGAGGUCAAAUUUUGGUUUAAUCAAUAUAAAUACAAGUAUUGACACCUCUUAACACAAGUUAAAGGUUUAGUCUAGUGGUUACGGUGUUGUGAAAAUUCCUUGAGGUUGUGUGUUAUAGUCCUACUAAUCUCAUAAUUAUAUUUUUUCUCCAACCAUCGACACCCCUAAUGACAAUACUGGGUCCGUUAACAUAUAUAUAUAUAUAUAUAAUAUAUAUAUAUAUAUAUAUAUCUUCUCCAUUUGCGCUUUUUCUCAAUAAAGCCCACACUUUAUUUGCGCUUAAAUCCCCAACGAACUUUAGAGCUUUUUUGCGCUUUUGAUAACACUUAUGGUGAAUGGAUCUGGUUUUCUACUUCAGGAUGUCUCUUUGAAGCAGUUCUCAAUUUAUUGCGUUUGAUCGUACUUCUGUGGCAUCUAGUUGUUUUAGCAUAUAUGCUUUGAAAGUUGAUGUUGCAUAUAAGGUAGGGGGCUAUUGAAUCAUUUCUGAUUUGCCUUUUAUUGUUUUGAUAUGCUGUACCUGUACAGGUUAGUCAUCUGGGUGCUGCAGCUCAAAAGUACCAGGCCGCCACCCAAAAUGCAUCAUCUAGUGCGUCUGUUUCUGAGUUGCAGGUUAAUUGCAAUAUGUAAGUCAGAUACUUACAUUAAGGUGUUUAUUCCAAGUAUUGGGUUGGCAAUGUUCCAUAACUUUGUUUGAUGGUUUUGUUUCAUUACAAUUUCUAUUUAGCAUAUCUAACCCUCUUUUUUAAGAGGUCAGCAUUAGACUAACUUUGUUUAAUGGUAGUUUUUACCUAGCAAUUUCUAUUUAAAUAUCUAAUCCUCUUUAUUAAGAGGUAGUCGUGGUCAAUUAUUAGAUCGCCGUCAUUAGUGGGCAGUGAUGAUGAGAUAGGAUCUAUUCGUAAUUGACAUUUUAUAUAGCUCUGUUUUUGGCAUUGAGCUUUUGUGGUCUUUACUGGUGCUGUUGCCCGCUUUUUUUUAGCUUAGGUUAGCCUCUCCAUGCUAAGGUAAGAUGUUCUACCAAUGAGUUGCCCUAGUAAGCUUUUGGCAAUCCAAUAACUUUCUUAAAGCUGAAACUUACUGUCAUUUUGAUUCAAUGAUUUACCAGGUACACAUUUUCUUGUCUACCAUUGUUGGAUGAGGUAGCUUAGAAUUUGGUGUAAUGGAAUAUGGUCAAUUUGUCAUACUGUUGAACCUUAGAAGCUCAAGUUCUUUAAACAUGAGUAUGAAUGUCUAGUAAAUAAAUAUUUUACCACAAUGGUGUGUUUAGGUGCAUGGCUGUCUACCUUCUUUUCAUACAAUUUUUUUUGUUAAAUCGAAAGUUGAACUUCGGAGUGUCAUGGUUUUGGGGUGUGGGUUGAGGAUGUUGACUGUGACCCACGUGAGUGUUGAUUUAAAUUCUAGUCCUCUCAUGCUCAUCCAACUUCUCCAAUUAGUUCGCUUCAGUGUUAUGGUGACGUGUGUGUGGGGGGUGGGGUAGGAGCUAGGUAUGUCAUAUGGUGUCUGGUCCUACCAAAAGGGAGAGGAAUAAAUAUUCUUCCCAUGGAAUUAACAUUAAUCAGGAGCUGUGGGUAGUGGUUUGAGGUGGUGGGGCAAGCGAAUGUAAAGAUAUGCAAGCCCUUUGAAAAAGUCACAAGUGAUCCAUGUAAACAUUCAGUUGUGAAGUUAUGUUUAGAGAUUCCUUGAUUCUUGAGAUUUUAUUAAGAUUGUGUAGCUGCUACCAUCAUGUGUUCCUUUAUUUAGCUUUAGUUGUGUGAGUUUUUUGACUUCUAAUUGCGCUUCAGGUUUGUUGCUUCAGCUCGUCAGUUAGCAAAAGCUUUGGAAGUUCCGUUAGUAAAUGAUUUAGGCCCCUCUCCCUUUUCUGUCCCUUAUGCAGGUUAAUUAUUAAGUGUCUUGGCCAGCUUAUGCAUUUCUCUUUUUAUGUCUGAUUUAAAAGUCAAUUAGUUCUGUCGACCUGUCUUCAGUUGAUUUCUUUCCAUAUGUCGUUCCUCUGUUUUCAGAGCAGACUUGAAAACGGAGACAAAUUCAAUUCUCUUAACAGCCAGCAGGUUAUAGAUGGUUGUCAAUGUUGUGGAUUUUGAAAAUUCCUUUUGAUAACGCGUGUAAUUAACUCAUGUAUAAUGCUUCAGCUUUUCUCUUGGAUACAAAUAUGUGGUGUAAUGUUUUCCAACUGUUGGUAAUUCUUGUCUUUCUUUCAGAAAUUGAAUUCAUUCAAAAAAUGUUUGUUCUAGCGGUAACUCAAGGUUUUUUGGUUUUAGGUUCUUCUAAUUCAGUUUAUUUACUUCUCAAAUGUUCUAUAAUCGUUAAUUUUGGAACCAAAUAUAAAGCUGCUUUUGUGUGAUAACAUCUGGUCAAAUAAUGUUUUGCUUGUUUUAUAAUACUUGUUCAAUUAAAA